GACGAACGCUGGCGGCGUGCUUAACACAUGCAAGUCGAACGGAAAGGCCCUGCUUUUGUGGGGUGCUCGAGUGGCGAACGGGUGAGUAACACGUGAGUAACCUGCCCUUGACUUUGGGAUAACUUCAGGAAACUGGGGCUAAUACCGGAUAGGAGCUCCUGCUGCAUGGUGGGGGUUGGAAAGUUUCGGCGGUUGGGGAUGGACUCGCGGCUUAUCAGCUUGUUGGUGGGGUAGUGGCUUACCAAGGCUUUGACGGGUAGCCGGCCUGAGAGGGUGACCGGCCACAUUGGGACUGAGAUACGGCCCAGACUCCUACGGGAGGCAGCAGUGGGGAAUAUUGCACAAUGGGCGGAAGCCUGAUGCAGCAACGCCGCGUGCGGGAUGACGGCCUUCGGGUUGUAAACCGCUUUCGCCUGUGACGAAGCGUGAGUGACGGUAAUGGGUAAAGAAGCACCGGCUAACUACGUGCCAGCAGCCGCGGUGAUACGUAGGGUGCGAGCGUUGUCCGGAUUUAUUGGGCGUAAAGGGCUCGUAGGUGGUUGAUCGCGUCGGAAGUGUAAUCUUGGGGCUUAACCCUGAGCGUGCUUUCGAUACGGGUUGACUUGAGGAAGGUAGGGGAGAAUGGAAUUCCUGGUGGAGCGGUGGAAUGCGCAGAUAUCAGGAGGAACACCAGUGGCGAAGGCGGUUCUCUGGGCCUUUCCUGACGCUGAGGAGCGAAAGCGUGGGGAGCGAACAGGCUUAGAUACCCUGGUAGUCCACGCUGUAAACGGUGGGUACUAGGUGUGGGGUCCAUUCCACGGGUUCCGUGCCGUAGCUAACGCCUUAAGUACCCCGCCUGGGGAGUACGGCCGCAAGGCUAAAACUCAAAGGAAUUGACGGGGCCCCGCACAAGCGGCGGAGCAUGCGGAUUAAUUCGAUGCAACGCGUAGAACCUUACCUGGGUUUGACAUGGAUCGGGAGUGCUCAGAGAUGGGUGUGCCUCUUUUGGGGUCGGUUCACAGGUGGUGCAUGGCUGUCGUCAGCUCGUGUCGUGAGAUGUUGGGUUAAGUCCCGCAACGAGCGCAACCCUUGUUCACUGUUGCCAGCACGUUAUGGUGGGGACUCAGUGGAGACCGCCGGGGUCAACUCGGAGGAAGGUGGGGAUGACGUCAAGUCAUCAUGCCCCUUAUGUCCAGGGCUUCACGCAUGCUACAAUGGCUGGUACAGAGAGUGGCGAGCCUGUGAGGGUGAGCGAAUCUCGGAAAGCCGGUCUCAGUUCGGAUUGGGGUCUGCAACUCGACCUCAUGAAGUCGGAGUCGCUAGUAAUUGCAGAUCAGCAACGCUGCGGUGAAUACGUUCCCGGG
rnacentral:rRNA from 1 species